ACUGCACUGAAGUUUAAUUUAUCAGCGUUUAUUUAGUAGUAGGCCGGGAGCGAACAAAUGCCUGUAUCUGAGAAGAGAGUUGUGAAACAUCUUCCGUACUAUAAAGUAAUCUUAAUUUUUAAAAGCUAAUCUCUCCGCAAGACGAUGAGCGACGAGGAUUUCAGAUCAAUGAUCGUACAGCUGGCAGGCAAAAUUGAAGAAGAUGAACUGCCAAUGCUGAAAGUAGCAAUUCAAGACAUUAUAAGGAAUGCAGGAGCAUUGCAAAAAGCCACUGAAAUAGAUAUUUUCACCCUUCUGGAAACGGGGGGUUACAUAAGCCCAACAAAUGUGUCACUUCUGAUUGAGUUGUUUGAAGUGGCAGGUAUGAUCAUGCUAAUAGAAACAGUAAUAUGUAAUUAUUAUCCAAAUUGCCUAAACAUGAGGAGGCCCCAGACCAUUUCAGAUUACAGAAGAUUUCUUUUAGAUCUUGGCAAGUCUUUAGAAGAUGGAGAUGUGUUAGCAGUUGCUAAGUUGUGUGGUGUCACAAGAAAAGAGUCGAAAGAUAAAUGGGCUUUGAUUAACGCUUUAACACGGCAAAUGAAGCUUGAUGAUGAUUUACAGAAAAUUCAAGCAUUUGCAGACCUCCUGAGAGAUCAACAGGGUUUACAACACAUAUACAAAAUUGUAAAUGAAUUUAGAGUAAAGAUGGAAACACAAUAAUUGGCACAUUUAUCUAGAAGCACUCUUCCAGGCAUACUCAUCCAUUUAGCACACUAAUCCAGGGACACACCUAAUCCAGGUACAGUACACUCGUUCAGUCACUGUCAUCAAGCGCUUCCUAUAAAACAAUCAAUCACAAACACUCUUCAAGACGUUCUAAUUCAGUGGCACUCAUAACGGAGUGGACAACGGGAAUUGCUGGUACCGGGUCACCGGGUAGCACAGACAUGAAGGGACCCUUAGGGGCGAAGAAAGUCAUUGAUCAAGUUCCUAGUCCACAUAUCAAGUACCCUGAGCAUCUUACAUUAGAUGGACAUGUGCGCUAUAUAAAACUACACUAUUAUUAUCAUUAACUAGGGCACUUAUCCCGGCACUCUCAAUCAGGCACUCUCAUCGAGGGACACUCACCAAUGAGCUUGUGUCUAGAUCCAGUUGGACUUGUCGGUAUUUUAACAGAUGCAGAUCAAGCAAUGAAAAUUUAUCUGCUUUAGGCUCUGUCUACACUAUCAAAUUCUAUGUGACAAAAAAAAUGUGCUAUGCAAAUAUUUGGGUGUAGUAUGACAUCAUCAUGCCCAUAUAUGGGCACAUCACACAAAUUUGUCACAUAAAAAAUUUUGAUAGUAUGGAAAGACCUUAAUGUUUUAAAUGCUGUACAUUUUUAAAUUAUGAAUUUUAGGUAUUUCAUAUCAGUGUUUUUAUAGAAUAAUGUGGUUUUAUGACCUUUUUGGAGACUUUUUUAGCUUAAUACUAAUACUACAUUAGAUGGAUAUGUGCGCUAUAUAAAACUACACUAUUAUUUUUAUUAUUAUUAUUAUUAUUAUUAUUAUUAUUACUUAGCAUGAAAUCUUAGUUAACAAGGGUGACAUGACCCAAAAAUGUAGGCCUUUUAGAAGAUUGCCACAUUUUAGUAUUUCUCUUUGUAAGUCGUACUGUCUAAUCUAAUUGUCUAAAUUAGUCGCUGGGGUUGAUAACAGCUGCCAAAUAGUAUUUAUAUAUUUUAUGUCUGUUAAUGUUAUCGUGAAAUGAAUUCUAUUGUAGCUUUGUAGUCAGAAUGGAUACCCUAGUAGCCCUACAGCUAGUGAAGGUUGAACUAAAUCAUGUUAUCAAUUAGUUCAAGAUGAGUAAACUAUAAGUUAACAUUAAACAAAACACAAUAUUAAUUUUUAUUUUUUUAAUCAGCAGAAACAAAGUAAUUUAAAAAUCUAUAUAAAAAAAUUAUAACAGUUGAUAAAUUUAAAAUUUACACCAAUUUUAAAUUAGUAUUCUUUCUAUGAGUUUUACAUUAAUAAGCAGUUCAUCAAUGUAACCACUAGAACUUUUUAUAAUUUGAAUAUUUUUGCCAUGCGCAGGACCAAACCUAUAGUACAUACAAUAAGUUCCUUUCCGUCUUUAGAUUUAUUUAACUCCAAUCUGCACUUUUUCCGUCGUAGCGUUUUAGGCGUGAUUAGUUAAAAUUAAUUUUGUUUGUGUUUCUGUUUCCGUCGUCUCGUCCUUUGUUAACCAUACUGUAAGUGGCGGAUUUGUGUCCGCUGUUGUUUUGGUGAAUAAAUAAAUAAAUAAAAUUUAAAA